rnacentral:rRNA from 1 species
GAUGAACGCUGGCGGCGUGCCUAAUACAUGCAAGUCGAGCGAACAGAUGAGGAGCUUACUCCUCUGACGUUAGCGGCGGACGGGUGAGUAACACGUGGAUAACCUACCUAUAAGACUGGGAUAACUUCGGGAAACCGGAGCUAAUACCGGAUAAUAUAUUGAACCACAUGGUUCAAUAGUGAAAGACGGUUUUGCUGUCACUUAUAGAUGGAUCCGCGCCGCAUUAGCUAGUUGGUAAGGUAACGGCUUACCAAGGCAACGAUGCGUAGCCGACCUGAGAGGGUGAUCGGCCACACUGGAACUGAGACACGGUCCAGACUCCUACGGGAGGCAGCAGUAGGGAAUCUUCCGCAAUGGGCGAAAGCCUGACGGAGCAACGCCGCGUGAGUGAUGAAGGUCUUCGGAUCGUAAAACUCUGUUAUUAGGGAAGAACAAAUGUGUAAGUAACUAUGCACGUCUUGACGGUACCUAAUCAGAAAGCCACGGCUAACUACGUG